rnacentral:lncRNA from 10 species
GACAGGAAUAUCUCCCCCAUCAUCUUUUCUGGAGAUGUCGUGGAGUACAGCCAAGAGGAUUGAGCUCAAAAAUAAGAAUAUUUCAGAACUUCUCACAUGUAUGGAGAUGAGGAUGAUCAGUUUUUCAGCAGAUGUUUGCCGUUUACUUUUACAAGGCCACAGAACUUUCCUAACUAAUGCAAAAGCCUGGAUGUCAGUUGAAGAUACUGUGUUCUCUCCCUUUUCAUCUGUGUACUGCAGAGAAGGUGAACUAGGCCCUUAAACUUUUGUUACCACUUUUAUGUCACUGUUUUAUCUUCUCCCUAGAAAAGCAAAGAAUUUUGAAGCACCUGUUAUUACCCUACAUGCUUCUCCUUGACCUCCUACGUCCUACUAUUCCUCAGUAAUUACAUAUUAUUUUUCCUUUUUAUUUUUAAUGUUUUUGAUUCCUUUAUUUCUUUUUAAAAAUUUUUAAAUUUACUUUAAGUUCUGGGAUACAUGUGCCAGAACAUGCAGGUUUGCUACAUAGGUAUACAUGUGCCAUGGUGGUUUGCUGCACCUAUCAACCCAUCAUCUAGAUUUUAAGUCCCACAUGCAUUAGGUAUUUGUCCUAAUGCUAUCACUUCCCUUGUCCUCCACCCCACCAAAAGGCCCUAGUGGGUGAUGUUCCCCUCCCUGUGUUCAUGUGUUGUCAUUGUUCAACUCCCACUUAUGUGUGAGAAGAUAUGGUGUUUGGCUUUCUGUUCCUGUGUUAGUUUGCUGAGAAUGAUGGCUUCCAGCUUCAUCCAUGUCCCUGCAAAUUGACAUGAUUUCAUUCGUUUUUAUUGCUGCAUAGUAUUCCAUGGUAUAUAUAUGUGCCACAUUUUCUUUAUCCAGUCUAUCAUUGUUGGGCAUUUGGGUUGGUUCUACAUCUUUGCUAUUGUAAAUAUUGCUGC